UCAAACUUGGUCAUUUAGAGGAAGUAAAAGUCGUAACAAGGUAACCGUAGGUGAACCUGCGGUUGGAUCAUUACAUAUAAAGACGGUUGGGCUACGUAGCCGUAGCUCUAACGCUCACACCUUGUGCACUGUGGUUGUCCUUGGCAAGUUAGCGUUAGUUUAGCGCGAGUCUUGCAUUAAGCCGAGUAAGGCUUAGUGGGAGCUUGCCGUUUUCUUCUCUACGUAAUUUGCUUGUGAGCCUGAUUGUUCAUAGAUGAAAAUAGGUGAAACAACUUUUGGCAACGGAUCCCUUGGCUCUCGCAUCGAUGAAGAACGCAGC
rnacentral:misc_RNA from 1 species